AGCGAACGCUGGCGUCAGGCUUAACACAUGCAAGUCGAACGGGCAUCUUCGGAUGUCAGUGGCAGACGGGUGAGUAACACGUGGGAACGUACCCUUCGGUUCGGAAUAACUCAGGGAAACUUGAGCUAAUACCGGAUACGCCCUUUUGGGGAAAGGUUUACUGCCGAAGGAUCGGCCCGCGUCUGAUUAGCUUGUUGGUGGGGUAACGGCCUACCAAGGCGACGAUCAGUAGCUGGUCUGAGAGGAUGAUCAGCCACACUGGGACUGAGACACGGCCCAGACUCCUACGGGAGGCAGCAGUGGGGAAUAUUGGACAAUGGGCGCAAGCCUGAUCCAGCCAUGCCGCGUGAGUGAUGAAGGCCUUAGGGUUGUAAAGCUCUUUUGUCCGGGACGAUAAUGACGGUACCGGAAGAAUAAGCCCCGGCUAACUUCGUG
rnacentral:rRNA from 1 species